AUGGUUUGGCACCAUGAAAACUCUGUUCGCGAUUGGUGGUCCCGUUCAGUGGAGGCUGGAGGCCGCAUCGAAAAGACCACCGCCUCGGUGAUGAUGCUUGUUUCUUGGGAAAUAUGGAAGGAGCGAAAUGCCAGAAUCUUUAGCAACAUUGCCGUCUCGACCACCAUUGUCGUUACAAGGAUUAGAGAGGAGGCCCAACUUUGGACGUUGGCGGGAGCAAAACAUCUGAGUAGUCUUAUUUUUUUUAGAAAAGGAGGAAUAUCCCCGGCCUCUGCAUCUGGACGACGCAUACGGCCAAUUUAUUAA
rnacentral:rRNA from 1 species